CUGAAAUAUUCUUGCUGUUCUAAUUUUGUAAUAAUCAGGGCAGGCUAGACAUUCACUAUAUUAAGACUAUGCAUACUUCUCCAGAUCUACUUUUUUCCCUAGGUCUGUUUUUUUAAAUGCUGGUGAUAAAC
rnacentral:snoRNA from 1 species